AGAGUUUGAUCUUGGCUCAGGACGAACGCUGGCGGCGUGCCUAAUACAUGCAAGUCGAGCGCGGGAAGCGGACAGAACUCUUCGGAGGGACGUUCGUGGAACGAGCGGCGGACGGGUGAGUAACACGUAGGCAACCUGCCUGUAAGACUGGGAUAACUCGCGGAAACGCGAGCUAAUACCGGAUAAUACUUAUGAUCUCCUGAUGAUAAGUUGAAAGGCGGUUUUUGCUGUCACUUACAGAUGGGCCUGCGGCGCAUUAGCUAGUUGGUGGGGUAACGGCUCACCAAGGCGACGAUGCGUAGCCGACCUGAGAGGGUGAUCGGCCACACUGGGACUGAGACACGGCCCAGACUCCUACGGGAGGCAGCAGUAGGGAAUCUUCCGCAAUGGACGAAAGUCUGACGGAGCAACGCCGCGUGAGUGAUGAAGGUUUUCGGAUCGUAAAACUCUGUUGUCGGGGAAGAACAAGUAUGAUAGUAACUGAUCGUACCUUGACGGUACCCGACCAGAAAGCCACGGCUAACUACGUGCCAGCAGCCGCGGUAAUACGUAGGUGGCAAGCGUUGUCCGGAAUUAUUGGGCGUAAAGCGCUCGCAGGCGGUUCUUUAAGUCUGAUGUGAAAUCUUGCGGCUCAACCGUAAACGUGCAUUGGAAACUGGAGGACUUGAGUGCAGAAGAGGAGAGUGGAAUUCCACGUGUAGCGGUGAAAUGCGUAGAGAUGUGGAGGAACACCAGUGGCGAAGGCGACUCUCUGGUCUGUAACUGACGCUGAGGAGCGAAAGCGUGGGGAGCGAACAGGAUUAGAUACCCUGGUAGUCCACGCCGUAAACGAUGAGUGCUAGGUGUUAGGGGGUUUCCGCCCCUUAGUGCUGAAGUUAACGCAUUAAGCACUCCGCCUGGGGAGUACGGCCGCAAGGCUGAAACUCAAAAGAAUUGACGGGGACCCGCACAAGCGGUGGAGCAUGUGGUUUAAUUCGAAGCAACGCGAAGAACCUUACCAGGUCUUGACAUCCUUUGAAUCCUCUGGAGACAGAGCUUUCCCUUCGGGGACAAAGUGACAGGUGGUGCAUGGUUGUCGUCAGCUCGUGUCGUGAGAUGUUGGGUUAAGUCCCGCAACGAGCGCAACCCUUGAUCUUAGUUGCCAGCAUUUAGUUGGGCACUCUAAGGUGACUGCCGGUGACAAACCGGAGGAAGGUGGNUGUAAAACUCUGUUGUCGGGGAAGAACAAGUAUGAUAGUAACUGAUCAUACCUUGACGGUACCCGACCAGAAAGCCACGGCUAACUACGUGCCAGCAGCCGCGGUAAUACGUAGGUGGCAAGCGUUGUCCGGAAUUAUUGGGCGUAAAGCGCUCGCAGGCGGUUCUUUAA
rnacentral:rRNA from 1 species